UUGCCACUAGGUGAUGACCCACUAGGGC
rnacentral:piRNA from 1 species